CUUCAGGCUUGACAGUCCAUGUGAAUUUCUGGCUCCUUCAAUGCUGUGAAGUCAAUAAAAUCUGAAGAUGUCAGUGGAUCCCAGGUUACAGAUAACUUGGGGCAGAAAACUGCGAGAAGAAAGUAGGAGACUGUGAAGAUGGAGGAGAAAUAUGCUGGAAAGUAACAUUGGGAGGAUGAGAAAGUGAAAAGGGAAAAAGUGAGAUUAUCACCCUCCAGAUUAAAGAACUGUUCAAGACCUCUUCCUAUCAGCCAGGACUAGGAUAGGAGAGGGAAUGCUCCUACAUGUUGUCUGCUUCUUUUGGAUGCUUAAUAAUCAUCUGUAAUAUUUGAUACAGUAUCAGAAAUAAACUUUUAUGGUUUUAAAAGCCAUAACACAGGUGGUGUAACAAUGACAGCUCUUUUCAGCUUUGUGGUUUUUAAUUUGAGGGAAAUGACUAGAAAACUUGACCUUGGGUGUGUUGAUACUGACUCUAGUUUCUGAAUGCAUGCUUAUUGAUGUGAGUUCCAGUAGGAUGGACCAGCCCCAUCCGUGUUUCACAGGUUUCAUGGUAGCAGAACAUACUGAUUUAAUAUUUUCCUUUAGCAAGAGUGCCAUCCACUUCCUAAACCCUUUAAAUUUGAAACAAAGAUAUACAUAUAUUUUUCCAAUAAAUAUUUUAUAUUUGCAUUUUUUCUCUUGCAAUUAGUCACUCUAAAAGUGCAUUUAGUUACUUUAGAAGCAUCUCAAGUCACUUUCAGCAAUACAGAUUAGCAGAGUAAUCACUGUGUAUCACUUGAAGUGAAAUUAUUUAUAUUGAGAGUAAGGAAUGACUGUAUUAAGUCCAUUCAGUUAAUAUGUAACUACAGGUUUUGUUUUUUUACCAUAACUAUUUUUCUUGUUAUAUGCAGCUGUAAAUCUGGGUAGACACAUAUGCUUUUAUAAAUAUAAAAAUAACCCCUUAAAACCUCUAAAUUAAGCAUGUUAAAUGGAAAAUGUUAAGCACUUGUUAUAUUCCAUUUUACUUUCCCAAUACAAUUCCCAGUGAAAUAAAAAAAAUGAACAGCUUUAUUAAUAAAUUCCAUGGUGUUUCUGUAUUACGGGAACAACAUAUUCUUAAGCACUCCAUGCAUCUGAAAUUUGUCUCGAUGUGGCCCAUUUAUUUUAAUUUGGAUCUGUCAGCAGAAAAAAAGAAGUAAUUAAACUUGUGACUAGCAUGGAGAAACAUUUUACAUCCUAACACUGUAGCUUGAUACGCAGUAGUUUCUUUAUAUUUCUUCCAGUUGUCAGAUCAAAGUCUCUCAAGUACUGUAACUUAGCCAUGCUUUGAUUAAUUACUUUAUACAAUGAAUUUGCAAAUUAUAUUUCUGAAGUGAUUUAUGUACUUCUAAACUUCAAUCAAACACACUUUCCCUCCCCCCUCCCCACAUUUGGUUGUGGGUUGUUGUUUUGUUGGGUUUUUUUUUAAAUUCCAAUCUUUUUCCACUAAUUUCAUCAGUCCACACCUUGGAAAAAUAUUUCUGAAAAGUACCUGUUAUUAUUUUAUGCUUAACAAAUUGUUGUAAACAGAGAUUUCCAGUAAAGAAUUAAACCAUACCCGAACAGUGCAAUUUAACAGAACUGUAUGAAUCACUUAAAUUGCAGUCAUGCACCAGCACAACUAGUCAGGUCUUCAGCCUCAAUGCUUUGUACAAAUACAUGAAAUCCUCCCUAAAAAUUCCCAGCUGCAGGUUUUGUCUAGGCUGCUGUUUUGUUCAGGAUAGGUCUACUGGAAUAGCUGAGCUAAGGCAACCUUUAAAAUACAUGUUCAAACCAAACAUUUGGUUACUGUAGUUAGACAUUUGUAAAUAGUAUUUGGGGCAGUAAUAACUUGCCUGUACCAGUGAUGUGCUUGUCUGGGCAAAGUUUAAUAUUUACAUUUGUGUUUCUUUGUACAGUCUCACACGGAAUAUUGCUGUUCAUGUUCAGUCCAUUCACACUACAUAGUGAUAUCUAAUCUUUGCAGAGGUAUUGUGUUUAUAGGUAUAGAUAUCCAUGCCUUCCCGAUGACUUGCUCUGACAAGAUUCUGAAGGAAUGGUAUGAGGUUAUUUCUCUCAUUGCCACUAUCUGAUAGCCUAAGUUUUGAAUGUUUGAACAGGGCACCCAUUCACAUCCUUUAGUAGUCAUUUUAAUCUAGAUGCUGCUUUGUUUUUCAUUCAGAUAUGAACCAAACAAAGGCCAUGUGGGUGGAGGUAAAGGAACAGAGGUAGAGUUCUGAUUGCAGAUGUGUGAUUGGGACACUGUCCCAACUACUCUUGUUACUUUUCACAGCUUCAAUAUAAUUGAUUUGUCCAUACAUGUAAGGAAAUGAACACAGUGAAAUGGGCUGAAGUCUUACAGAUUGGAAGUAUUUAUUGACUCCCUGGCUUUCUUUUGAAGUAUGCUAGUAUCUCUCCAUCAGACAAAAACCUGCCAUAAGUUGGGGGAUAGUUCUCUUUGUAGGUCCCUCAUUAUUGGAAAAAAUAUUAUUUGAAAAGAUUUCAACAAAUUUGGUUAUUUGAUGUUCCUUGAAAGAUUUUCGUUCUGAAACACCCACGUCAUGCCCUAGGACCUGUAACAACUUCCUCAGUAAAUGACAUAACUACUGUGCUGGUGGACGGAAGUGUUGAUCUCACAAUAGUUUGAACUCCUUGAGCUGGAAAAAAACCCAACACACACAAAAAAUAUUGUGCUCUAGGGCCACCAGCAUGGAGCAGAGGGGAUCCAUACAGAAAAUUCCAUGCAAUGUGGGUGAAGCCAUUUUCCUCUAUAAGGGAACAGUCAAGCAACGUAUGUGAAAGGAGCUGCAGCACCUGCUCAGAAGUGAGUAAUCAUUCUCUGGGACAGAUGCACUUACCCAUAUUGAUGUAACAGAGGCAGAACAAGCUUUCUGCCCUGAGUAGUGUCUCCAAUGACAGCUAGUAGGAGACACAUGAUGUAAUAGGCAUGCAUUUAAUCAAAUUUAGAGUGAUACUUCUCCUUGUAUGCCUUCCCUGUCCUACCAUGCUUGUGCUUUCCACAUUCAAUUUUAAAUAGACCCCUUAUUUCUAGGUCUGCUCUUGGACACUGGUACAGUGUCUUUGCCAGAAAACAUUUUUCAGAAACAUUUUCCUGGUCUUUCUGAAACUGUGAUAGUCCAAAAUUUUGUAGGAGUUUUAGAAGACUGAAACCUUUUUAUUACCCCUGUGCAAUAUAAUUUCCUAUUAUUUUGACAUUUUUGCUACUGAAAUGCUAAUUUUACCUUAAAAAUGAACUUGGAGAAUUCAUAAGGACGGUACACAUAUAGGAAUACCCUUUACAGACUGCUAAAUUUGGUCACUAAAGCAUAAGGAGAGGAAAUGUAGUUUCUUUAGUGUAAGUAUUGCCAUUUCUCCAUUUAAUGCUCCAUUCAUAGCACUUGUCAAACUACAUUUUAACAGUAAUAUGGGCUUAGUUUGUGUGCAGCUGCACAGUGUCAUUACAAGAUAGGGCAUAGCGUUGACUCAAUUUUUUUAAAAGCAAACACAGCUGACUCAGUCUGAACACACAUGGUCAUGGAAAGCAGUCUCCAUGUGCAGUUUUUUCCCAUGAUUCACCUGAAGGUUGCAAAAAAAUACAGGCCACAAGCUUGUUUAUAUUGCUAAGUCCUAAAUCAAGAAAUAAGCAUGUCAACAAGCUAAGUGCCAGGUUUACAUGAAGUAUAGAGUCAUAGGAAGGAUCCUUAAAAAUUGGAUGGGUUGAUUUUAUGUAGGGGCUAUUAUGAAAAUUCUUUCCUUAUGAAAAGAAAAUUAAUGUCUCCAUUUCUGUGUUGAGACUUGAGAAACCAAUAGACCUACCAUAUUAAUAAGGCAUUUUAGAGCACUUAUCAUUAGGAUAUCAAUGCCUCUUGUGUACUGAAGCAAAAAAUCCAAGUGUGACAUUCUUCACACAUAGCAAGUAUGUCAAAAGACUGCUAUCAUUGCAGAAUAAAUAAAAAAGAGAAUACAUUCCUGCCAGGACCUUGUGUUUAUUAAAGUAGGAUAGAUUCAUCUUGUAUUUGUUUUUCACAAUGCUUAUAGAUAUCUGUAAUGAUCCUUGUAAAUAAUCUGUUGGAAAACAUGAAAUGAACUUCCUUAUAAAUAAAAACUAAUAAGUUCAAAAGUAA